rnacentral:rRNA from 1 species
CGUACACUCCUACGGGAGGCAGCAGUAGGGAAUCUUCGGCAAUGGGGGCAACCCUGACCGAGCAACGCCGCGUGAGUGAAGAAGGUUUUCGGAUCGUAAAGCUCUGUUGUAAGUCAAGAACGAGUGUGAGAGUGGAAAGUUCACACUGUGACGGUAGCUUACCAGAAAGGGACGGCUAACUACGUGCCAGCAGCCGCGGUAAUACGUAGGUCCCGAGCGUUGUCCGGAUUUAUUGGGCGUAAAGCGAGCGCAGGCGGUUUGAUAAGUCUGAAGUUAAAGGCUGUGGCUCAACCAUAGUUCGCUUUGGAAACUGUCAAACUUGAGUGCAGAAGGGGAGAGUGGAAUUCCAUGUGUAGCGGUGAAAUGCGUAGAUAUAUGGAGGAACACCGGUGGCGAAAGCGGCUCUCUGGUCUGUAACUGACGCUGAGGCUCGAAAGCGUGGGGAGCGAACAGGAUUAGAAACCCUUGUAGUCCC